CACGUAAUUAGCCGGACCCUAUUCGUAUAGUACUGUCAUUUUCUUCCUAUACAAAAGAUUUUUACAACCCGAAGGCCUUCUAAAUCACGCGGCGUCGCUGCAUCAGGGUUUCCCCCAUUGUGCAAAAUUCCCCACUGCUGCCUCCCGUAGGAGUCUGGGCCGUGUCUCAGUCCCAAUGUGGCCGUACACUCUCUCAAGCCGGCUACUGAUCGUUGCCUUGGUGGGCUUUUUUCUCACCAACUAGCUAAUCAGACGCAGGUCCAUCUUACACCGCCAACACUUUGGUUAUUAUCUCAUGCGAGAUAGUAACUUCAUAGGGUAUUAUUCGUCGUUUCCAACGGCUAUCCCCUUGUGUAAGGCAGGUUACUCACGCGUUACUCACCCGUCGCCACUAAUCCAAUUAUUUCAUUCCGAAGAAGUCUAAUAAUCUUCAUCGUUCGACUUGCAUGUGUUAUGCACGCCGCCAGUCGUUAAUCCUGAGCCAGGACUCAAACUCUA
rnacentral:rRNA from 1 species